rnacentral:rRNA from 1 species
GACGAACGCUGGCGGCGUGCCUAAUACAUGCAAGUAGAACGCACAGUUUAUACCGUAGCUUGCUACACCAUAGACUGUGAGUUGCGAACGGGUGAGUAACGCGUAGGUAACCUGCCUGGUAGCGGGGGAUAACUAUUGGAAACGAUAGCUAAUACCGCAUAAUAUUAAUUAUUGCAUGAUAAUUAAUUGAAAGGUGCAAUUGCACCACUACCAGAUGGACCUGCGUUGUAUUAGCUAGUAGGUGAGGUAACGGCUCACCUAGGCGACGAUACAUAGCCGACCUGAGCGGGUGAUCGGCCUCACUGGGACUGAGACACGGCCCAGACUCCUACGGGAGGCAGCAGUAGGGAAUCUUCGGCAAUGGACGAAAGUCUGACCGAGCAACGCCGCGUGAGUGAAGAAGGUUUUCGGAUCGUAAAGCUCUGUUGUAAGAGAAGAACGGGUGUGAGAGUGGAAAGUUCACACUGUGACGGUAUCUUACCAGAAAGGGACGGCUAACUACGUG